rnacentral:rRNA from 1 species
UACGGGGGGGUAAGCGUUGUUCGGAAUUACUGGGCGUAAAGGGCUCGUAGGCGGCCAACUAAGUCAUACGUGAAAUCCCUCAGCUUAACUGGGGAACUGCGUGUGAUACUGGAUGGCUUGGAUUUGGGAGAGGGAUGCGGAAUUCCAGGUGUAGCGGUGAAAUGCGUAGAUAUCUGGAGGAACACCGGUGGCGAAGGCGGCAUCCUGGACCGGUAUUGACGCUGAGGCGCGAAAGCCAGGGGAGCAAACGGG